CUUUGAUGGCAUAAUGCAAUCAGUUGCGGCUGACUUGUCUACAUCAGAUUCGGAAGGCCGAAUUCGUAGGGGACGAGGUGAUGUGCAUCAAAGCGAACCUGAAAAGGGAAUGGGAAGCAGGACUGGAGGCAGUACCAGUAAUGGAGAUGAUGAUGAGGAUGACUACUAUGGCAGCGAGGGAGAUGAUGACUAUGGCGAGGAUGGUCUAUAUGGUGAUGAG